rnacentral:tRNA from 1 species
CUGGCUGUGGCGCAGUUUGGUAGCGCGCCAGACUGGGGGUCUGGAGGUCGCAGGUUCAAGUCCUGUCAGCCAGA